GUAUAUUAAGUUGCUGCAGUUAAAAGCUCGUAGUUGGAUCUCGGGUGCAGGCUUGCGGUCCGCCUCGCGGCGGUCACUGCUCGCCCUGACCUCCAGGCCGGUGUCACCGUCCCUUGGUGCUCUUGAUUGAGUGUCUCGGGCGGCCGGUACGUUUACUUUGAAGAAAUUAGAGUGCUCAAAGCAGGCCCUUGUCGCCUGAAUAAUGGUGCAUGGAAUAAUGGAAUAGGACCUCGGUUCUAUUUUGUUGGCUCUCGGAGCUCGAGGUAAUGAUUAAUAGGGACUGACGGGGGCAUUCGUAUUGCGGCGCUAGAGGUGAAAUUCUUGGACCGUCGCAAGACGAACUACAGCGAAAGCAUUUGCCAAGCAUGUUUUCAUUAAUCAAGAACGAAAGUCAGAGGUUCGAAG
rnacentral:rRNA from 1 species